GACAGAGGGUGCAAACGUUGUUCGGAAUUACUGGGCGUAAAGCGCGUGUAGGCGGCUAAGUAAGUCGGGCGUGAAAUCCCACGGCUCAACCGUGGAAGUGCACUCGAAACUGCAUAGCUAGAGUCCUGGAGAGGAAGGUGGAAUGCUUGGUGUAGAGGUGAAAUUCGUAGAUAUCAAGCGGAACACCGGUGGCGAAGGCGGUUCUCUGGGCAUUACCUGACGCUGAGGAGCGAAAGUGUGGGGAGCGAACAGG
rnacentral:rRNA from 1 species